rnacentral:rRNA from 1 species
AGCAGCCGCGGUAAUUCCAGCUCCAAUAGCGUAUAUUAAGGUUGUUGCAGUUAAAAAGCUCGUAGUUGAAUUUCGGGAUUAGUGCGCUGGUCGUGCCUUCGGUAUGUACUGGUGUUACUGGUUCCUACCUUCUGACGAACCGUCAUGUCAUUAAUUUGGUGUGGCGGGGAAUCAGGACUGUUACUUUGAAAAAAUUAGAGUGUUUAAAGCAGGCUCGCGCUUGAAUACAUUAGCAUGGAAUAAUGAAAUAGGACGUUCGAUCCUAUUUUGUUGGUUUCUAGGAUUGACGUAAUGAUUAAUAGGGAUAGUUGGGGGCAUUAGUAUUCAAUUGUCAGAGGUGAAAUUCUUGGAUUUAUUGAAGACUAACUACUGCGAAAGCAUUUGCCAAGGAUGUUUUCAUUAAUCAAGAACGAAAGUUAGGGGAUCGAAGACGAUCAGAUACCGUCGUAGUCUUAACCAUAAACUAUGCCGACUAGGGAUCGGAUGAUGUUAUUUUUAAUGACUCAUUCGGCGCCUUAC